CGCACAUUGCGCCCGCCGGUAUUCUGGCGGGCAUGCCUGUUCGAGCGUCAUUUCAACCCUCGGGCCUGUCCCGGUGUUGGGGCUCCGCUAUUCUGCGGACCCCGAAAAACAGUGGCGGAGCCGCCUAGCUCUCAGCGUAGUAAUCUUUCUCGUUGGGGACGACAGCGGUCGCUUGCCAUGAAACAACCACUAUUUUAAUUGUUUGACCUCGGAUCAGGUAGGAAUACCCGCUGAACUUAA
rnacentral:misc_RNA from 1 species